ACUUUCCAUUCCCCGCCUGCACAAAAUCUUUUAUUUAGUAUUUUUUUUAAUUACGGAGAAGCCCCUCGCCCCCCCCUCCGCCCUCGUCGCCUUCGUCCUCUUCCUCCUGCUGCUCCUCCUCCCCCUGCAGACUCCCAAUUCCAUUCGCACCCAAACCCUAAACCUAAAUGGCCCUCGCCGCGAGCUCGCCGGAGGGGAAUCUUCGUCGCCGGUGACCGCCGAUCCGCCCGUCCCCGCCGCAGCCGGCGGCGCCCCGGGCCGCGGAGGGGCCGAAUCUCCGAGGAGGAGGGACGAGAUGGCGUCCCGGCAGCACAACCCGAAAUCCAAGACGCUCGGCAACAAAUACAUGCUGGGGGACGAGAUAGGGAAGGGCGCGUACGGGCGCGUCUACAAGGGGCUUGACCUGGAGAAUGGCGACUUCGUGGCCAUCAAGCAGGUCUCGCUGGAGAACAUCCCGCAGGAGGAUCUCAAUAUUAUCAUGCAAGAAAUUGAUCUACUGAAAAAUCUCAAUCACAAAAAUAUUGUGAAGUAUCUUGGAUCAUUGAAGACAAAUAGCCAUCUUCAUAUCAUUCUGGAAUAUGUGGAGAAUGGUUCACUAGCCAAUAUUAUCAAGCCAAACAAAUUUGGACCAUUUCCUGAAUCAUUAGCAGCCGUCUACAUUGCUCAGGUGUUGGAGGGUCUUGUCUAUCUGCAUGAGCAAGGUGUCAUACAUAGAGAUAUCAAGGGUGCAAAUAUAUUGACAACUAAAGAGGGCCUUGUUAAACUUGCUGAUUUUGGAGUUGCUACUAAAUUAACUGAAGCUGAUGUCAACACACACUCAGUGGUUGGAACCCCAUACUGGAUGGCCCCCGAGGUUAUUGAAAUGUCUGGUGUUUGUGCCGCGUCAGAUAUCUGGAGUGUUGGUUGCACAGUUAUUGAGCUACUCACUUGUUCCCCACCAUAUUAUGAACUGCAGCCCAUGCCUGCACUGUUUCGCAUUGUUCAGGAUGUGCAACCACCAAUACCGGAAGGAUUCUCUCCUGAGAUUACUGAUUUUCUCCGGCAAUGUUUUCAAAAGGAUUCAAUACAACGGCCUGAUGCAAAGACAUUGUUGAUGCACCCAUGGUUGCAGAACUCGAGACGGGCCUCGUCAUCUCCCCGACAGACUAAUCCGAGGCAUAUUGACAUGGAUGAUGAAGUCCCAAGUAGCGAUAAUCAUGCUGGGUUUUCUGGUCCAUCAGGAGAUACACAAGCACCUGUUGCUUCUGACGUUGAACAGGAGGAUGGAACAAAAGAACUGGUUUCUGUAUCUGCGGGACAAGUUUUCCAUGAAAAGCUAUCAUUGGAAUCAUCUCCUGGAGUUACUGAUUUAAAUGGCAAUAUAAAACAUGAACCUUCGCAAGAUGUUCUGCCAACUAAGGUAGCUAGGAGCAGCCAAGAAUCAAAAAACGGUGACAGCAAAAAUUUAGAUCCUGAAAGUAAAGACCCUUCGAGUUUUGAGGAUGAUGAUGCUUUCUCCUUCCAGGCUGGGAGACAGAAUGUUGCCUUUCUAGAGGAGGCAAAACCUUUAGUUGCCGAGGGAGCUAAUGGACUGAGUAGAUUCAGUGAUACACCUGGAGAUGCCUCCUUGGAGGAUUUAUUCCCAAUUGACAAGCGAGGAGAUAAUGGGGCUGAAGCUUCAACAUCUACUACCGCUCAAGAGCUCAGGGAUAGGAUGGUGUCACAGAAGCAGAAGGGAAAUGACAAUGUGCCCAUGAAUGGCGGGAAACUUCUUGAAUUAUUUGAUGAAUUUCAUGACAACAUUCCAGGAGAGAAUCUUUUCCCUUUACAGUCUGUGGAAUACAGCAAAAUAGUAGCACAGCUGAAGCCCGGCGAAAGUGAAGAAGUAAUAUUGUCAGCAUGCCAAAAGCUUAUGUUAUUCUUCAGUCACCGGCCUGAGCAAAAACAGAUUUAUGUGUCACAGAAUGGUUUCCUUCCGUUGAUGGAACUUCUUGAACUUCCAAAAAACCGUAUUAUAUGUUCUGUUCUGCAACUCAUCAACUACAUUGUAAAAGAUAAUACGGCCUUCCUGGAAAAUGCCUGUCUUGUUGGCCUAAUACCAGUGGUGAUGAAUUUUGCCGUGCCAGAUCGUGCAAAGGAAGUCCGGAUGCAAGCAUCUUUUUUUCUGCAGCAGCUUUGCCAGGCCAGCACCUUGACGUUGCAAAUGUUCAUUGCAUGCCAAGGUAUACCUGUUUUGGUGAGUUUUUUGGAGCCUGACUAUGCAAAAUUUAGGGAAAUGGUUCAUCUUGCAAUUGAUGGCAUCUGGCAGGUCUUCAAGCUUCAGCAUUCAACGCCGAGAAAUGACUUCUGUCGUAUAGCAGCAAAGAAUGGGAUACUUCUCAGGCUAGUUAACACUCUUCAUAGCUUGAAUGAAGCAACACGAUUUGCUUCCAUCUCAGGGUCAGGUGCUUCAGUAACACAGAAUGGUUCCACCCCCCGUCUAAAAUCUGGUCAGCUAGAUGUGCCGAUGCUAGAAAGUUCUAAAGUAAGGCUGGAUCAUUACCAUUCAUCUGGCUCCAUGCAGUCGUUACAAGCAGAUGCUGAUAAGCACCAUAUCUUAUUGGAUCCUUCAGCAUCUCCCAGGUUCAAUGAUAUAUCUGCCGCUGGUCACAUGGAGAGAAAUGAUAAUGACCUGGUAAGGCCACAGCGGCUUAGUGUUUCUGGAGGAAGGUCAUCAACAGACAGAUCUCCCAAGCAUAUAGAAUUAGUAUCAAAUGGACAUAGUAGUGGUCAGAAUGAUCAAAUCCGGCCUCUACUGAGUUUAUUGGAGAAAGAACCUCCCUCUCGUCAUGUAUCUGGACAACUUGAUUAUGCCCGUCACAUGUCUGGACUAGAAAGGCAUGAGAGUAUUUUGCCACUGUUACAUGCUUCAGUAGAGAGGAAAACAAACGGUGAACUUGACUUGCUAAUGGCAGAAUUUGCUGAGGUCUCUAGACAGGGAAGAGAGAAUGGUAACCUUGAUUCUAAUAUGAAAGCUUCAAAUAGGGCUCCAAGUAUGAAGUAUGGUCCAACAGCUUCCAAUGAGGGAACAUCAACAUCCGGAGCAGCAUCACAAACAGCAUCUGGCGUGUUAUCUGGAUCAGGAGUGCUCAAUGCAAGAAUGCCAGGAAGUACAACAUCAUCUGGUCUAUUAGCUCAAAUGGUUUCUAUGAGUGCUGAUGUUGCACGCGAGUAUCUUGAGAAAGUGGCAGAUCUUCUUUUGGAGUUUGCACAAGCAGACACUGUUGUAAAAUCUCUCAUGUCUAGCCAAAGCCUUCUCGCACGGCUUUUCCAGAUGUUCAAUAAGAUAGAAUCUCCUAUUCUUCUGAAGAUUCUUAGGUGCAUUAAUCAUUUGUCUGGUGAUCCUAAUUGUCUAGAGACACUUCAACGCACAGAUGCUAUCAAGCAUUUGAUACCAAUUCUCGAACUUCGUGAUGGACCUCUAGUUUUUCAAAUACAUAGCGAGGUCCUCAAUGCGCUGUUCAACCUUUGUAAGAUCAAUAAAAGAAGACAGGAACAAGCAGCUGAAAAUGGGAUCAUCCCUCACUUGAUGAAUUUUGUCAUGUCAGACUCGCCGCUAAGGCAGUAUGCAUUGCCUCUGCUUUGUGAUAUGGCUCAUGCUUCUCGCAACUCUAGGGAGCAGUUGAGAGCUCAUGGAGGCCUGGAUGUGUACUUGGACCUGUUAGAGGAUGAUGCAUGGGCAUGUACAGCUUUGGAUUCCAUUGCUGUUUGUUUGGCUCAUGACAAUGAUCACAGAAAAGUAGAGCAAGCCUUGUUGAAGAAAGAGGCCAUUCAGAAGUUGGUGAAAUUUUUCGAAGACUGCCCUGAACAAUAUUUUGUUCAUAUACUUGAUGCUUUCCUCAAAAUAAUCACGAAAUCAUCUCGGAUAAAUACUGCAAUAGCCACCAAUGGUUUGACGACAUUGCUUAUUGCAAGACUUGACCAUCGAGAAGCUAUUGCUCGUUUGACUCUGCUGAAACUAAUAAAGGUUGUCUAUGAGCACCACCCUCGACCAAAGCAGCUUAUAGUGGAGAACGACCUUCCCCAAAAGCUACAAAACCUCAUCGAAGAGCGCAGGGAUGGGCAACGCGGCGGUCAACAAGUGCUGGUCAAACAAAUGGCCACCUCACUGUUGAAGGCAUUGCACAUCAAUACAGUCUUGUGAUCUCCGGCCUAGGCCAUCAUGUGUUUUCCUCCCAAGCUGUACAUGUCUGCCCUAGAGGAAAAGUUUUCGUUCUUUCUUCUUCUUUUCCCCUUGUUCCCAGCUGUGAUUUCCCUUGUCAUGGGCACCAGACUGGCUGUUGCGCCUGCUCCCCCUUUUAUCGGGAGAAAGGUUCGACGCUCCGGUGCAAGAUAACGGGGUUUGUAAAUCCCUGCGUGGUUGUUCAUACCUAGCGUGCUGUUAGUGGAAUUGCUGUAUAUCACCGUUUGAAAUUUCCAAUAGAACAGAUAUGGUUUAGACUUAUUUGUGUUGGCAUCUCCUGUUAGUAAAAUUUUGCCUGCUGCUCGUCUCGG
rnacentral:rRNA from 1 species